rnacentral:rRNA from 1 species
UCUCUCUGAAUCUGCGAACGGCUCCGCAAACCAGUUGUAAACUAUAGCAAGUUAGCACGGGUCUGGCUUUCACGAGUUGGGCCCGGGCGAUAUGGAUAACCCUGGUAAUUCUGAGGCUAAUACAAGAACGUAAUCCCUGAUCAACCGGCCUCGGCUGGAAGGUUGGGAAGCGUGUGAUGGUUUCUAGGAAAAACCGGGAAUGGGUGCACGCUUGGACCGCGAUAAAAAGGAUCGAGUCCUCACGGAAGGGAAUGCUCGGCCCUAGCGGCUCUUGCGGUGUGCUUCUGACCUAUCAACUAGACGGCAGCGUAAGGGACAUGCUAUGGUUACAACGGGUACAGAGGAUUAGGGUUCGAUCCUGGAGAGUGGGCCUGAGAGAUU